rnacentral:rRNA from 1 species
AGUGAACGCUGGCGGUAGGCCUAACACAUGCAAGUCGAACGGCAGCACAGAGGAGCUUGCCCCUUGGGUGGCGAGUGGCGGACGGGUGAGGAAUACAUCGGAAUCUACUCUGUCGUGGGGGAUAACGUAGGGAAACUUACGCUAAUAACGCAUACGACCUACGGGUGAAAGCAGGGGAUCCUCGGACCUUGCGCGAUUGAAUGAGCCGAUGUCGGAUUAGCUAGUUGGCGGGGUAAAGGCCCACCAAGGCGACGAUCCGUAGCUGGUCUGAGAGGAUGAUCAGCCACACUGGAACUGAGACACGGUCCAGACUCCUACGGGAGGCAGCAGUGGGGAAUAUUGGACAAUGGGCGCAAGCCUGAUCCAGCCAUACCGCGUGGGUGAAGAAGGCCUUCGGGUUGUAAAGCCCUUUUGUUGGGAAAGAAAUCCAUCUGGUUAAUACCCGGGUGGGAUGACGGUACCCAAAGAAUAAGCACCGGCUAACUUCGUGCCAGCCGCCGCAGUAA